rnacentral:rRNA from 1 species
UGAGGAAUAUUGGUCAAUGGGCGCUAGCCUGAACCAGCCAUGCCGCGUGCAGGAAGACGGCCCUACGGGUCGUAAACUGCUUUUCUGUGGGAAGAACACUCUGCAUUCGGUGCAGGGCUGACGGUACUGCAGGAAUAAGCAUCGGCUAACUCCGUGCCAGCAGCCGCGGUAAUACGGAGGAUGCGAGCGUUAUCCGGAUUCAUUGGGUUUAAAGGGUGCGCAGGCGGUGGAGCAAGUCAGUGGUGAAAGCCCGGGGCUCAACUCCGGGAUUGCCAUUGAAACUGUUUCACUUGAGUGUAGUCGAGGACGGCGGAAUGAGUUAUGUAGCGGUGAAAUGCAUAGAUAUAACUCAGAACACCGAUUGCGAAGGCAGCUGUCUAGGCUAUAACUGACGCUGAGGCACGAAAGCGUGGGGAGCGAACA